AGGUCAAGUUAAUAAGGGCAUACGGUGAAUGCCUUGGUGCCAGGAGGCGAUGAAGGACGUAGGUAGCUGCGAAAAGCUUCGGGGAGCCGCUACACAGGCGAUAAUCCGGAGAUGUCCGAAUGGGGCAACCCCGCCGGCGAAAGUCGGUGACCGUGCGCUGAAUACAUAGGCGUACGGAGCGAACCCAGGGAACUGAAACAUCUAAGUACCUGGAGGAAUAGAAAACAACAGUGAUUCCCCGAGUAGCGGCGAGCGAAAGGGGACCAGCCUAAACCCGCGUUGUGUAAGCCUGCGAGCGUUGCAGCGUGGGGGUUGUGGGUCAGUUCAUGGGUGAUUGCAGUCACCCGACGGAAAAGAUACAGACCUAGCGGAACCGUUUGGAAAAGCGGGCCAUAGAGGGUGAUAGCCCUGUACGCGAAAGGUAUGUAUCCCCGGAAUUGUACCCAAGUACCGCGGGACACGAGAAACCCUGUGGGAAUCCGGGAGGACCAUCUUCCAAGGCUAAAUACUACCUGGCGACCGAUAGUGGACAAGUACCGUGAGGGAAAGGUGAAAAGCACCCCGACGAGGGGAGUGAAAUAGACCCUGAAACCGUAUGCCUACAAGCAGUUCGAGCCCAAUGGCCGGUGUAAAUCGGCAAGGGGUGAGAGCGUGCCUUUUGCAUAAUGAGCCUGUGAGUUGUCCUACGUAGCGAGGUUAAGCCGUUAGGUGUAGCCGUAGCGAAAGCGAGUCUGAUAAGGGCGAGCAGUUGCGUGGGGCAGACCCGAAACCGUGUGAUCUACCCAUGGUCAGGUUGAAGCGCGAGUAACAUCGCGUGGAGGACCGAACUCACUAAGGUUGAAAACUUAGGGGAUGAACUGUGGGUAGGGGUGAAAGGCCAAUCAAACUCGGAAAUAGCUGGUUCUCCCCGAAACAUAUUUAGGUAUGGCCUCGGGCGGUCUCUGGCGGAGGUAGAGCACUGAAUGGGUUAGGGGCCUUACCAGGUUACCAACCCCAAUCAAACUCCGAAUGCCGCUAAGAGUAGCCCGGGAGACAGACUGCGAGUGAUAACAUUCGUAGUCGAGAGGGAAACAACCCAGACCGCCGGCUAAGGCCCCAAAUUCCAUGCUAAGUGGGAAAGGAUGUGGGAGCGCACAGACAACCAGGAGGUUGGCUUAGAAGCAGCCAUCCUUUAAAGAAAGCGUAAUAGCUCACUGGUCUAGUGAACCUGCGCCAAAAAUGUAACGGGGCUCAAGCAUGGAGCCGAAGCCGCGGGCUCGCGAAAGCGAGCGGUAGGGGAGUAUUCCAACGGCGAUGAAGGUCGAUCGACAAGAACGGCUGGAGCUUUUGGAAGAGCUUAUGCAGGCAUGAGUAGCGACAAAACGAGUGAGAAACUCGUUCGCCGAAAGCCCAAGGUUUCCUGGGCCAGGUUAAUCCUCCCAGGGUUAGUCGGAUCCUAAGUCGAGGCCGAAAGGCGUAGGUGAUGGAAAGCAGGUUAAUAUUCCUGCACCAUUCAGCAUCCGUUGAAGCGAGAGGGGACGGAGAAGGAUAGGUCAGCCGUCGUGUGGUAGUGACGGUUCAAGCAGGUAGGCGGAGCUCCUAGGACGCGUAGGCGACAAACGGGAGCUCUAUACGCCGAGAUGUGAUGAGGAGGCAGCUUCCCUCGGGAAGCCGUCGAAACUGACUGACUCCAUGCUUCCAAGAAAAGCCUCGCGCGGAGGUUGCUGGGUGACCGUACCGGAAACCGACACAGGUGGGCGGGGAGAGUAUCCCAAGGCGCUUGAGAGAACCAUGGUUAAGGAACUCGGCAAAUUUACACCGUAACUUCGGGAGAAGGUGUGCCCUCCGUAGGUGAAGCGACUUGCUCGCGGAGCCGAAGAGGGUUGCAGUGAAUAGGGGGUAGCGACUGUUUACUAAAAACACAGGGCUCUGCAAACUCGUAAGAGGAUGUAUAGGGUCUGACGCCUGCCCGGUGCCGGAAGGUUAAGGGGAGCUGUCAGGGGUAACCCGAAGCAGCGAACCGAAGCCCCGGUAAACGGCGGCCGUAACUAUAACGGUCCUAAGGUAGCGAAAUUCCUUGUCGGGUAAGUUCCGACCUGCACGAAUGGCGUAACGACUUCCCCACUGUCUCAACCAUGGACUCAGCGAAAUUGAAUUCUCGGUGAAGAUGCCGAGUACCCGCGGCAAGACGGAAAGACCCCGUGAACCUUUACUAUAGCUUGACAGUGAACUUCGGGAUGUUCUGUGUAGGAUAGGUGGGAGGCUGUGAAGCGUGGGCGCUAGUCUGCGCAGAGCCAACCUUGAAAUACCACCCUGGGUAUUCUGGAGUUCUAACUGCGGCCCGUCAUCCGGGUUCAGGACACUGUCUGGUGGGUAGUUUGACUGGGGCGGUCGCCUCCCAAAAAGUAACGGAGGCGCGCGAUGGUUCCCUCAGGCUGAUUGGAAACCAGCCGUAGAGUGCAAAGGCAUAAGGGAGCUUGACUGCGAGACCGACGGGUCGAGCAGGUACGAAAGUAGGCCUUAGUGAUCCGGUGGUUCUGUAUGGAAGGGCCAUCGCUCAACGGAUAAAAGGUACUCCGGGGAUAACAGGCUUAUCUCCCCCAAGAGUUCACAUCGACGGGGAGGUUUGGCACCUCGAUGUCGGCUCAUCGCAUCCUGGGGCUGGAGUAGGUCCCAAGGGUUUGGCUGUUCGCCAAUUAAAGCGGUACGCGAGCUGGGUUUAGAACGUCGUGAGACAGUUCGGUCCCUAUCUGCCGUGGGCGCAGGAGGUUUGAGAGGAGCUGUCCUUAGUACGAGAGGACCGGGAUGGACGCACCACUGGUGUUCCGGUUGUCGCGCCAGCGGCAUUGCCGGGUAGCUACGUGCGGAAGGGAUAACCGCUGAAAGCAUCUAAGCGGGAAACCCGCCUCGAGAUUAGACCUCCCGGGCUUUAUGCCCCUGAAGACCCCUUGAAGACUACAAGGUUGAUAGGCCGGGUGUGGAACCCCAGCAAUGGGUGAAGCUAACCGGUACUAAUGGGUCGUGAGACUUGACCUC
rnacentral:rRNA from 1 species